ensembl:snoRNA
AUGCCCGCACAUGAUGAGAACUGCGUUGGUAGGGACAUCUGAGAGAGUGAUUGAUGAAUGCCAACGGAUCUGAGCUGGGCAC